CAGUAGCCACGGGAACACGAAGGGUGCAAGCGUUACUCGGAAUUACUGGGCGUAAAGCGUGCGUAGGUGGUGGUUUAAGUCCGUUGUGAAAGCCCUGGGCUCAACCUGGGAAUUGCAGUGGAUACUGGGUCACUAGAGUGUGGUAGAGGAUAGUGGAAUUUCCGGUGUAGCAGUGAAAUGCGUAGAGAUCGGAAGGAACAUCUGUGGCGAAGGCGACUAUCUGGGCCAACACUGACACUGAGGCACGAAAGCGUGGGGAGCAAACAGGAUUAGAUACCCCAGUAGUCCCUGUCUCUUAUAC
rnacentral:rRNA from 1 species